rnacentral:lncRNA from 1 species
AUCAACUUCGGGGCUUCGUCCAUUUGAGGACCUCAACUACAACCAAAGGCUUCCAAGCCUCGGGCCAUGGGCCUCGGUUAGAAGCAGCUCGGAUAUAACCCACCUCGACAAUAUGGGCCACCUCGGCAGGAAUGCCACGUGGAUCAGGAUGAGUGGGCCACUGGCCCAGGUGGGUAGGACAGGGGUGACAACACGCAACAAUAGUCCCCCAAGUCCAAGUAUAAUCAUUAAUGUAAUGCGUGGACUUUAGAGUAAAAA